CCUUAGCUUAAUGGUCAAAGCAGGGGUCUCAUAAACCCUUGAGUGCCGGUUCAAAUCCGGCAGGGC
rnacentral:tRNA from 1 species